rnacentral:lncRNA from 13 species
CUAGGGUGUGCACCAGUGCGGACCAGUUGCUGGGCACCCCAACAAUUAUGACUCUUAACAUAGUCACAGAGAUGGCGAGACUAACAUCAAGGGGAGUACUGUUCCCACCAGGGGAACACAUUGAACAUCACCACCGACUUAGGGUCAAAUUAAGAAACUUUCACAAAUAGUGGAGGAAAACCUGAAGAAAGCAGGACAGCCAGUCAUGGUAAUUAGGAUGACGGUCAUCACAAAGAGCAGAUCCAAGAUCAUCCAAGAUAGAGCUGUGCUUGCUCACCUAGCUUUGUUGAAACGAAGGGGGAAGAUGUUGAGAAACAUUAAUUUUGCCCUGCCCCCAUGGCUCCUUUGUGGAGAAUAUCUUUUAGUUUGUAAUUAGUGGUAGGCAGGUAGCAGCUGCCUACUUGGUACAUUCUUGAGUUAUGUGUAUAUGUAGAACCCCUGUGUAUUAAUAAGAAUCACCUGUCAAAGCAAAUAAAUGGAUGGAUGAGAAUCUUGUUGGAGCCUUC